rnacentral:rRNA from 1 species
UGGGGAAUAUUGGACAAUGGGCGAAAGCCUGAUCCAGCCAUGCCGCGUGUGUGAAGAAGGUCUUCGGAUUGUAAAGCACUUUAAGUUGGGAGGAAGGGUAGUAACUUAAUACGUUGCUAUUUUGACGUUACCGACAGAAUAAGCACCGGCUAACUUCGUGCCAGCAGCCGCGGUAAUACGAAGGGUGCAAGCGUUAAUCGGAAUUACUGGGCGUAAAGCGCGCGUAGGUGGUUCAGUAAGUUGGAUGUGAAAUCCCCGGGCUCAACCUGGGAACUGCAUCCAAAACUGCUGAACUAGAGUACGGUAGAGGGUGGUGGAAUUUCCUGUGUAGCGGUGAAAUGCGUAGAUAUAGGAAGGAACACCAGUGGCGAAGGCGACCUGCUGGGACUGUUCUGACGCUGAGGCGCGAAAGCGUGGGGAGCAA